CACUCACUCAUUCACUUUGUGAGAAACUGAUGACGAGAGAGGUUUAGUUCCCGGGAUGAAAUGUCUCCUGUGCAGUGGAUUAUAAUAACUCAUGAACACAUUUGAAGGCAGUUCGUAUCUGUACUCGCGCACAUGCCAGCUGCACCAAAUCAACAAGUCUACUCGUGUCUACAGAUAAAAUAUUCCAUGGAUCUCUGGAUACUGUGGACGUUUUUUGCUGUUUCCUUACUCGCCAAAGAGGGCUGUUCAGAGUUCACUAUCGGUGGUUGCGAAGAGGGUCGUGUAGAUGUUGUUGAAGACAGGACUUAUUCAUUCACGUGCGACUCAUACACCAGCUGGGGACCAGAGUGGACGGUUUAUGGUGAUAAAGGAAAACUCCUUUAUCGCGGGUCUUGCCAACAAAGGUCUUGUACUCCUUGGAAUGAUCAGUUUUCUGUAGGCGAAAAGUAUCAAUUACAGUACCACGGUUCCAGUUACUACACUUCCAGUCUUAUCAUAAAAGACAUCAAGAGGGAUUCAGCUCGAUUGUUAUACUGCAUCAGUUCAUUGGAAUCUACAAUGUGCAAAUUAAGAAUAAUUGCUACCCCGGUGUAUAGAGACUGCAGUGUACGUAUUUCAAACUGGAUGGUGACCGGAAGCUGCACAUUGACAAAGAUGUAUUCUUCAGACAACAACUAUUAUUGCAAAUGGAGGGAGAGUGGGAACAACAAUGAGGAAUUUGGAGAUUUCCAAACUCAACCAGUUCCCUACAAAGGAUGGAACUCGAGAGAGUAUACUACUGGGGUUUGUUCUUUCGCUAAGCCAACGCCUCUCAUCCGUGGGUUGUAUACAUACAAUAUGAGAGUGUUGCCAGGCGAUGUUCAUUUUCAGCAAACAAUAAAUAUAGGUGAGCCAUAUCAGGUAAAACUUACCCACAGUUGUCCAGAGUAUGUAUUCGAAGAAUCAAGUAUAAACUGUUCAUGCUCUGCUUCAAGAGAUGUAACUCCACCAGCACUACUGGUGUGGGAAGGAAGGAAUGAUGUAAAACUUUUACUCACAAAUAUAAGCCGGCAGCAGGAUCAAGAACAAUUCACAUGUCAACUAAAAUGGGGUCCAGACGGCUCCAUUAAAGAAAACAUGUCCUACAGACUUACUGUUGCCUGGAACAAGCAAGCAAAUACACCUCGGACUAAUGCGGGGGUAAUUGGUGGAGUUAUUGCAGCUGUACUAGCACUCAUUAUUGUUGCAGGUUUGAUUGUGUACAUCAUCAAAAAAAGAAAAGGGAUCCUAGACAGAGAAUGGAGCUUCUUGAGAGUUUUCUCUCGCGCUCGCAAACUUUUUAACCAGAGACCUGUGACGCCAUUAGCUGUCAUCAAGAAGCCACAGACACAGAUAAUGACACAAAUACAGACACAGACGUCGAUUAGAAGACAUGUAUCUCCUUCAGGCGACACAGCAAGUUCAGGUCACGUGACGGAUGACUAUGCAGUGGUCUAUAAAAAGUCGUUCAACAACACCGAUGAUAAUGAGAAUAAUGGAGCCCACCAAGCGAGUCUAAAGAUAAAUGGAGUUGAGAGGCAGACAAUAGUAUUGACACCAACUACAAAGCCUAAGUCAGCUCUAAACACUCAGACGAAAGUCCAAGAUUUGCAUGGCACAGUUUAUAUGAAUGUCACUGAGGUGCCGACUGACUCUGGUUUGGGUGUGUAUCAUGUAGUUCCCUGGGCAACACUGUCUGGAUCACCUGAACCUGACACAAACGAAUAUUCUGUACCAACCACUUCCGAAGAUGAGUACAACGAACUGCAUUUUGAAGAUGAUCGUACCGGACAAGAGGACCAAUCCGAUACCUACCACCAUCUUCAAAUAACAUAAACAUUUGUGUAUGAUUUCUCCGCUGUGGACACUGUCUUUAGAUACAACGACUACAUCAACACCAGUCUCUGCUAACCGAAUCGGUUAAAGGUCCGCCGGAAGUUUCCAUUCAUGUUGUGACCGCUUUGCGCUGAGAAGUGGGAACCCUGAGAAAUACCCAUGUGUAGCGAGCUUGGGAGCGAGUGACACAAUGGUCUCUUUCCGUCUGUUCGAGCUUGCUACAGAACAGGUAAUAGCAAUGCGAACCGGGUGAGCCAGCCAUCCUGCAAAGUACUAACAUUUAGACAAACAUUCACACGCUCACACAUUUUAUGGAAGAGUAAUAAAUCUAUCAUCAGCGGACGUGCGCUCGUGUUUUUGUGUUUGCGUCAGAAUUUC